rnacentral:rRNA from 1 species
GACGAACGCUGGCGGCGUGCUUAACACAUGCAAGUCGAACGGAAAGGCCCUGCUUUUGUGGGGUGCUCGAGUGGCGAACGGGUGAGUAACACGUGAGUAACCUGCCCUUGACUUUGGGAUAACUUCAGGAAACUGGGGCUAAUACCGGAUAGGAGCUCCUGCUGCAUGGUGGGGGUUGGAAAGUUUCGGCGGUUGGGGAUGGACUCGCGGCUUAUCAGCUUGUUGGUGGGGUAGUGGCUUACCAAGGCUUUGACGGGUAGCCGGCCUGAGAGGGUGACCGGCGACAUUGGGACUGAGAUACGGCCCAGACUCCUACGGGAGGCAGCAGUGGGGAAUAUUGCACAAUGGGCGGAAGCCUGAUGCAGCAACGCCGCGUGCGGGAUGACGGCCUUCGGGUUGUAAACCGCUUCCGCCUGUGACGAAGCGUGAGUGACGGUAAUGGGUAAAGAAGCACCGGCUAACUACGUG